UACGAAGGACCCGAGCGUUAUCCGGAUUUAUUGGGUUUAAAGGGUGCGUAGGCGGAACGGUAAGUCAGUGGUGAAAUCCUGUUGCUUAACAACAGAACUGCCAUCGAUACUGCCGAUCUUGAGUACAUAUGAUGUGGGCGGAAUGUGCCAUGUAGCGGUGAAAUGCUUAGAUAUGGCACAGAACACCGAUUGCGAAGGCAGCUCACAAAACUGUUACUGACGCUGAGGCACGAAAGCGUGGGGAUCAAACAGGAUUAGAUACCCUGGUAGUCCACGCUGUAAACUAUGAUUACUCGAUGUGUGCGAUACACUGUACGCGUCCAAGCGAAAGCGUUAAGUAAUCCACCUGGGGAGUACGAUCGCAAGAUUGAAACUCAAAG
rnacentral:rRNA from 1 species